rnacentral:lncRNA from 1 species
UGCCUUUCAUCUCUACCACCUGGAAAGCCGGCGUGGCCGACGGAGCAUAGACGACUGACUGUUCAAGGAACUGAAGCAGUGGACAGCUUGCUGUGAAAGAUGGGAGCAUUCUUCCUCUGGUCUGGACAAGCCCAUAUUAAGUGGGAGAUGUUCAAUAUCAACCCGAUGAGAGGCAGCAAAUGUGGAAAUGGACGCAAGUCAAGGACAGCUGCAGACAGCAAAAUAUUGAAACUGAUACAACGAUUGUGCUGAAUCACCGAAGAUAUGAGCCAGAGUGCGAACAGUAUACUCGUACAGUUUCGCAGAAUAAACCC